UUUUUGUCUUCUAAAUUAAUGGUGACUGUUUUGCUGCAGGUUUGCGUACGUUCCUAUUUCUCUGUCCCACCACGCUACUCAUUAGGGCAGUGGUACUCAACACAUCGCUGAUCCAGAUUUUGUUAGUAUCUCCAAAGGAUUCGAAUUGUGAAGUUCCUAAAUCAAGGGCUGUGGUGGCACCUUAUUUAUUCUCAUCAGACAUUCAACAUGUGAAAAC